CUUAGUGGCGGACGGGUGAGUAACGCGUGGGUAACCUGCCUUAUACAGGGGGAUAACAGUCAGAAAUGACUGCUAAUACCGCAUAAGCGCACAGAGCUGCAUGGCUCAGUGUGAAAAGCCGAGACGGUAUAAGAUGGACCCGCGUCUGAUUAGCUGGUUGGUAAGGUAACGGCUUACCAAGGCGACGAUCAGUAGCCGGCCUGAGAGGGUGACCGGCCACAUUGGGACUGAGACACGGCCCAAACUCCUACGGGAGGCAGCAGUGGGGAAUAUUGCACAAUGGGCGAAAGCCUGAUGCAGCAACGCCGCGUGAAGGAUGAAGUAUUUCGGUAUGUAAACUUCUAUCAGCAGGGAAGAUAACGACGGUACCUGACUAAGAAGCCCCGGCUAACUACGUGCCAGCAGCCGCGGUAAUACGUAGGGGGCAAGCGUUAUCCGGAUUUACUGGGUGUAAAGGGAGCGCAGGCGGCAGCGCAAGUCAGAAGUGAAAGCCCGGGGCUUAACUCCGGGACUGCUUUUGAAACUGUGCGGCUAGAUUUCAGGAGAGGUAAGCGGAAUUCCUAGUGUAGCGGUGAAAUGCGUAGAUAUUAGGAGGAACACCAGU
rnacentral:rRNA from 1 species